UUCUCAAUCUUGGGCACUGCUGACACGUUGCACUGGAUACUCCCUUGGAGCAUCUUUUGGAGAAACAAUAUCAAGAAAAUCCUGCCCAGAGGAGGAAAAGAUUACAGCUGGAUGAUGUGUGUAUCUAUCUGAAAACAUACAAUCACACGAUGAAUGUCAGUUUGCUCAUAAGUCAGUUCUUAAGAAUGAAUUUCUGAUCCUUUGUUAGAGAGUCUGGAAGUUCAAAUAGAAAUACUUCCAGUUCCAUCUAUUAAGGGAACCUAAAGAUGCAAAGUC